UACGUAGGGGGCAAGCGUUGUCCGGAUUUAUUGGGCGUAAAGAGCGUGUAGGCGGCCAAACAGGUCAGCUGUGAAAACUCGAGGCUCAACCUCGAGACGUCGGUUCAAACCGUAUGGCUAGAGUCCGGAAGAGGAGAGUGGAAUUCCCGGUGUAGCGGUGAAAUGCGCAGAUAUCGGGAAGAACACCCGUGGCGAAGGCGGCUCUCUGGGACGGUACUGACGCUGAGACGCGAAAGCGUGGGGAGCAAACAGG
rnacentral:rRNA from 1 species